rnacentral:rRNA from 1 species
UGAUUACGUCCCUGCCCUUUGUACACACCGCCCGUCGCUGCCCGGGACUGAGCCAUUUCGAGAAACUUGGGGACUGCUGAUCCGGUGGCUUCGGCCUCCGCUUCGGUGGAAACCAAUUUAAUCGCAGUGGCUUGAACCGGGCAAAAGUCGUAACAAGGUAGCUGUAGGUGAACCUGCUGCUGGAUCAUUACACGUACCGUGAUGGU